rnacentral:rRNA from 1 species
AUUGAACGCUGGCGGCAUGCUUUACACAUGCAAGUCGAACGGAGAUGAGGUGCUUGCACCUUAUCUUAGCGGCGGACGGGUGAGUAAUGCUUAGGAAUCUGCCUAUUAGUGGGGGACAACAUUCCGAAAGGAAUGCUAAUACCGCAUACGUCCUACGGGAGAAAGCAGGGGAUCUUCGGACCGUGCGCUAAUAGAUGAGCCUAAGUCGGAUUAGCUAGUUGGGGGGGUAAAGGCCUACCAAGGCGACGAUCUGUAGCGGGUCUGAGAGGAUGAUCCGCCACACUGGGAGCGAGACACGGCCCAGACUCCUACGGGAGGCAGCAGUGGGGAAUAUUGGACAAUGGGGGCAACCCUGAUCCAGCGAUGCCGCGUGGGUGAAGAAGGCCUUCGGGUUGUAAAGCCCUUUAAGAUGGGAAGAAGAGUGAGAGUAAUAUGCUCAUGCUUUGACGGUACCGUCAGAAUAAGCACCGGCAAACUCUGUGCCAGCCGCCGCCGUAAUAC